GACGUAGGGGGCAAGCGUUGCCCGGAAUUAUUGGGCGUAAAGCGCUCGUAGGUGGAUCGAAAAGUCUGUGAGGAAAUACCUGGGCUCAACUCAGGAACCCGUGCGGAUACUUUCGAUCUUGAGGCAAUCAGAGGAUGAUGGAAUUCCCGGUGUAGCGGUGAAAUGCGUAGAUAUCGAGAGGAACACCAGAGGUGAAGACGGGUUGCUGGGCCGACACUGACGCUGACAGCGCGAAAGCCAGGGGAGCAAACGGG
rnacentral:rRNA from 1 species